GUUCAUACAAAAAUCAACAGUGUGAAGAGUGAUAAUAAUAACGUUUUUAUAUCUUACAGGUAAGAAAAGAUCAUAAAAGAAAGCUAUAAAUAGAUAUAAGAAAUUCCUUUCAACUCAUUCCUUACACUCUUUCCUCUCUAAAUUCUUUCCCACCAAAACAAUAGGAUCCCCAAGCCGAAGCAGCAAACAGGAAAACAGCAGCAGAGUGAGAAGGCCACAAUUAUGGAUCGGGCUGUAACCUCAAGACAACUCCAAUCCAAAUCUCCAUCCCAAACGAGAAAAUUGUUAUGAAACUCAACAAAAUUCUCAAGUGUUUACUGCUCAUCAUUCUCUACUGCAAUGACCAUUGGCCGCCACCCAUUCUUCCACCGAUUAUCCACCGAUACGCCACGAAAUUAAGCCACCAAGUGGUGUCACAUCGCCACCAGAACCGCCACAAAAUUCAAAUCUUCAACGAAAUUCAAUGCAAAAUUCAACUUAAAAUCAACUCUAAGCCAGCAAACUGUAAGCAUCUUCAGACACUGCCACGCCCAUACGCCUCAGCCAACAGCAGUACAGCCACCUCCGCCCCAAGAGGAGGAGCAUUGUGCCCCAAGCAGCAAUCGAGGCCAGCAAAUCACUCAGAGUCCAGGCAGAAACUGCAAGGAAGGAAACCAAAAUUCAAGCAUCCAGAAACGCACAGAAACCCCAAAUCGCAAACACAAGGAAAGCUCGGGGCAAAUGCAGAAGGCGCCAUUGCUGUAUCGCCGAUGAUGAUGACAUCGAGAGCCGGCACUCCAAGACGAGGAUCGAGCAUCUGAGGGCGACAUAAGGAGGUAAAAGGCAGCGACAGGCAGCGACUGAAGCAGCAGCAGAGGCAGCAACAGAGGCAGAGGCAGCGACGUCUUUAUCUAAGGCAGCGCUCCCCUUUCUAAGGGGAACAAGUUUUCUACCCCGUUGCCACACACACACAGAUACGACGAGUAUCUAGAUAUUUAGCUGAAUAUCUAAGCAGCAGGGGCAGUGAAUGCUGCUGCCCCAUGCACCCCUCGACAGGAAGGACACUCACACAUACACAACCACCCCAAGCAGGCGCUCCUGCGGCGAAUUCACACACAGGCGCACACCCCCUAAGCAGCACUCACGCAUACAAUCUCAAGCCACAAAGAGAGACAGAAAGAGAGGGAGAAAGAGAGAGCUCAACUUCAGAGAACAGCACAUAUCUGAUGGCGGCACAUUACAUUUCAUCGCAAGUAUGUUUCGACUUUUGUUUAGACCCUAAACUUCUGUCACAGGUUCGAGGAAGAGCCAAAGUUCAGGACUCCAAAAUGGUACCAAAAAUCCAGGGGGGAGAAACCCUCAAUCCAAAUCCAAAUAUAAAAGUGAGAAGAAAAUUCCAAAUUCAUUAAAUUGAAAUGCCUCUUGAGUGAGGCAAACAUGCAGCAGAGAGGUAGAAAAAGCAGCAGAAACAGCCAGAACAAAAUCGCAAAUUUCAAAAUCAAUCCGAAAGUCAAAAUCCCGAAGAGAACUCUUCUUCUACGGCAUCGCAGAAGGCUUCAUUUCCAGAGCCCCAGAGCACUAUACCCCCAAACCCUAAACCUAUCGAAUCGAACCAAAAUCAAAGAAUCGUUGAGCAAAAGUCCCGCCCCUGCCACAACCAAAAAUCCACACACACUAUGCAAUAGUUUAUCAUUUUGUGUCGAAAACGCAAAUCGAAUCAAAUGUAAAAUUCAAAAUUCGCGUUUCGUCCUUACAAAUCCUUAGUUUAACCCACAAACCUUUAACCCAACAAGAAAACAAACUCAAAGAAAAAGACCGUUUCGAAUGCCCCAGAGCUUCCAGGCACACACAAAUCAACCACCUCUUUGGUCCUUCACACACACACACACACAACACACAAACAAUUUAGCACACAUACACCAGCAGGGGUGCGCUCAACACACACACCACAAACACACUUAUAACCCCCCACACACACACUCAAACACUGAUACACACUCACACCCCUUUGGUAAUAAAAUGGCUGCAAAGGAAGCUGCUUCUACGAUUCCCAAGAAGAAAAGAAACAAAUAGCCACAGGACCCAAAAAGAAAAAGUCAGAAAAUGAAAACCCGAAAGAAAUCCGAAUUCAAGUUUUAUUCACACAUUUCUUGGCGCUUUCAAUAUUUCGUUGAUAUUUUCAUCAAGAAAAGCAAAGGCGUUGCGAUAUUUUUUAAUCCAAAAAAGUUUUAUGAAAAUUCCAAAGAAAUAUUUAAUGCGCAAGAAAUGUUGAUGGAAAUUUGCACAGCAAAUCGAAUCCACAACGAAACCAUAUAGAAGUCAACGAACCAUCUUUGAACUCCAAUCCAACCACCAGUUAACCCAAAAUGUCUCUUGGCCAUUGACACAGCCCCUUAGAAUUUGACCCAAAAUCAAGACAGGCAAGAAAUAAAUCAUAUGGGAAAGGUGAAAUCUAAACGAUUAGGCUAGUGAAAUUUACCCACGUGAUAUAUUAAAUUCCUAAUUCAAAGUUAUUACCCCCACAAAGACUAAACUGAAAAUCAUAACCAAAUUCCUUUCACUUUAGAUUUCAAAAUCAGAAAAAAUAUGAUUAAAAAUCAUCGUUAAUUAUUUAUUCUUGUCAGAUCAAAAUCAAAGAUACAAUUUUAAACAACCAAACUCAGAUUUAAAAGCUCCCUCAGAUGAAGGAAAAGCCAAAAAAAUCAGAUAUAAAGCAACAUAUUCUUCCCACAAAUUCAAGAGCCUUACUUCCCUGUUAUUUAUUCUUUGAAAGAAAAGUUCACCAUGUAAUCUAUAUAGUAAAAACAUCUUCGAACAAAUUCAAAAUCUGACAGAGUAUCAAAAAAACCUAUUGAGAAAAACAAACUAGCAAAGUUCAAAAACAAUUUCAAUAAGUUAAAAACCCCAAAACCAAGGAUUUCAAUUCUAAAAAAAAUCGAAUUAUAAAUUCUUACAUUUCAAACGAAAGUUCCCAAACGUUACAAAAAGUUCAUACUUUCAGCAAUUUUGAGAAAUUCAUGGAACAUUUCCAAAUCAGACUAAAUAUUCCAUUUGGCAAAUUUAAUUAGAUAUAUUUUUCGCAGUUGAAAAUAACAUUUAAAAUUAGAAUUCCAUUAAUCAGACCUGCAGAACACAAGAGAAAGAAUAGUCAGAUGCAAAGUUAAACAUCAAGAAAAUCCGAAUUUACCUUAAAAAUAGGAAACCAAACUAUAAAAAUUAAUUGGAUAAAUUCUGAGCAACAUAAAGCAAACAACAAGAAAAACAAUUAAAAUUUACCACCAAAAAUUAUGAAAAACAAACCAUAUAUUAUUAAAAAAAAAAACACAUAAAAGAUAAUCAAAAUUAGGCUAAAUUUAUAAUCAAAACCAAUAUCAAACUUAACAAAAUCAACAAAAUCAAGUUUUCUGACCAAAAUCUUCAAAAUUCUCCAUUAGACUUCAAAUUAUAAGAAUUUAAUGGAUAUUGGCCAUCAAAUAGAGUUCCCCUUCGUGCAUCAACAGAAUGCCAAACGCUGAAAUGUAUGGAAAAUUCGAAUGAAAUUCCAAACUGGCUUUCACUUAAAAGUAUUCCAUUCGACUUACCAUCAGAACAAAGCAUACUUCGAAACUAUAUUCUCAUAUUCCUUCUGAUAAAACUUUAAAAAAUAUCUCCUUAAUUCGAAAUAAGACAUCACUUAUAAAAACUCUUCAGCGUAAUCAAUUAGAAAGCUUUAAAAAUGUAAAGACAUAAAUUAACAUUCAAGACAAUAACUUAUCGCCUUAUUUGAAACAUACAUUAUGACCUACUGAAAUAUCUUAUUUAUCUUUAACCUCCAAAACAUGCUUCAACGAAAUUCCUCUUUGCUCAAACUUAAAUUGAAUGUAUGGCUAUCAUGAAAAACAUUUUUUGCUUGCCUUUAAAAAAGUAUAAAUUAAUUUUUAACCAACUUCUUGAAUCAAAAAGCACGGCGCAAUCACACAUUAAUCACGUAAAAUUAAUAAUGAAACUUUACCAAUGAGCAAAAUCAUAAUUCAAAGAAAAAAAUAAUUUGCCAACUUUAGAAACAAAACCAUAAAUAUUUGUUCGACAAAAGCUUUAUUUUAAACAAAAACAAAAAUAACAUAAAAAUCAUCAUUCUAGAAAACAUUUUUAAAUUCCUUUCAAACAAAAAACAGUUUAGAACCAUUCCGAAUAGAGAAUCAAGAGUGAUUUAAUGCUUUUCAAAUACAUUUUUUUUUUAAAUGUAAUCCUUUUAAAACUUUGGGCUUUAAUGCUUUCGGUAAAUUCCACAACUUCGUUUAAAAUAUUACAAAUAUUACAGUUUUUAUUAAUCUAAUUCUGAGAAAAUUUUAAAAGUUUAGGUUUAAAAAAACAAUUCUCAUUCAAAUUAUAUUGUUUAUUCUGUGAAGUUUAUUAAACUCAAAAGUCAAUAUCUAAAACAUCAAAAACUAUUUAUAAAAAAGUCACAAAAUUCGAAUCGUCCAUCCAAUUCUGAUAAAAUUUUAUAUGUUGAGGUUUCAAAACACAAUUCUCACUCAAAUUAUAUUAUUUAUUCUCUGAAGUUUAUUACAUUCAAAAGUAAAUAUCUCAAACAUCAAAAACUAUUUAUAGAAGUGUCACAAAAUUCCAAUCUUUCAUAUCGAAAACCAAACCCAUCUUAUCUCAAAUGGAAAUCUCCUCAAUCCAAAAGUAAAUAGGCAACUUCCGAAGAGUAAAACAUUUAAAAAUAGUAUAUAGAAGAAGCACGACGAAUUUUUACUGUCUCGACAUUCGUAUUAACAUUUAUUUAUCAAAAUUAUUUAAUUUUAGAAACUGAAACACUAGAAAUCCAAAAUUCAAACUUUCAACUUUCGGCUCCUCUCUGGCAAACAUCAAAAUCCGAAAAUCGAAAACCAAAAUUCCAACAAAAUUAAAACACAAUUCCAUCAAAAUUGCACCACUGACCGGCCACAAAAUUCAAAAUCCAAAUUAAAUUUAAAGCUUUCCCAAAAACACUUAGAGCAGGUAAACCGACUAUUAGCUCAAGACACAAAAUAAAAUAUCCAAAACUAAAGAAUCAACAAAAGAAAAGCGAAAAGAAAAAUACUAUAGAUCGAUGCUGAUGGCUGACCAAAAGAAAACCAAAACGAGAAAAACAAAAUCGAGAAAAUCCAAAAUUCAAAACCCGAGCUCCAAACCAGCCAACACACACAAAAAGAAAUCCAAUUGAAAAUUGCCAAAAAUUACCAAAAAAUUAUCAAAAAGAAAACAAAUGUCGCGACAUUCGCAAGGAAUCCUUCGGUGCAUAAUUAUGGCCACAUUACGAUGAUUAAGUACGCCCGUGGACAGUUCUGAAAACAAAAAGCAAAGCCAAAAAACAAAACACGAAAAGCGAAAACCGAAAAAAGAAGAAAGAAAUUCCAGCAAAAUUCCAAAAAGGCAGCAUUAUAAAUUACAAGAAAUUGCGGAAGUUUUAAUGCGACAAAAUGUCAGGAGCAAAAGCAAAAAGGAACCCGCGCGCUGGCAAGCAAAAGACGCGACAGGGACAGGCCACCAAAACAGGACGAGGGCAGGACAGGGGGAGGCUGACUGGCUGGCAAAAUGCUGGCCAACUUUCUGGCCCAAAAUCUUACAAAUGGCGGCCCGAGAGCUCGAGAGAGGCCGCCACUCGACUCGGUAGAUAAAUCACAGCGAAACAAAACAAUUCCGCAGCUCUCCGCAGCGACCAAAAAUCCACAAAAACACAAACCAGAAUCGGUAUCCGAAUCAGAACAGAAUCCGAAUCCAGACCAAGAGACAAAGACAAAGAACACGCGAUUUCAAAGAACUUUUUGCCUUGAUGAAGGCGCAGAUGGGGUUAAAGCUGGUCCAUAAAAAGGAACAGUUGAGCAUAAAGAGGCAUAAACAAAAUUUCAUAAACUAUAAAACCCCAAGCACACCCACCGCAGUUAGCCCAAGAUUCGACCGAUGACCACUUUGAUGGCCUCCAGGGACAGGCCGCCUCAAGAGCAUUACUUUCGCUCGAAGGCCGCCAUACAAAUAUCACAAAGAUGAAAACCAUUCCGAGCCGUUCAGAGCUAUGAAAACUAUCAAAACUUAACCCAAAUUCAAUUCGAAUCAAAAUCAGCAUCGCAAACAAAAUGAAGGCACAACCAGCACAACUUCCAGUUUCUGAACUUUAAGUAAUAUUUCGAGACGAGUGUCACACGCACACGGCAGAAAAAGCAGAAACCCCCGCCCUACUCCAGACACACACCCAAACACACCCCAGCUACCGUUCAGACCUUUCAAAUUGUGGUCAGGCGAGAGGUUUCUUUGGCAAAAGUUCGAACCAUCAUCAUCUGUAACAUUCAGAAAAACUCCACCAGCAUCAGCAUCAGCAUCAGCAUCGACAUCAGCAUCAUGCAGUUGAAAGCACAUCAAACAAAACUUCAAAUUUAUAUAAACUACUGGCAAUAGUCGAGGUCGAGGCAUAAUUGCCAUCAAUAAAUAAAAUAUGGCUGGGCAGGGGAGCCACCAGCACCAGCAAGAGCAACAGCAACAGACCAGAGCAACAGCAGCAAGAGCAAAGCAGACCCCGAAGAGACACCAAUCCUGACAAUCCCUUUCCCAGAUACAGCCCCAAACUUCAGCAGCAAGCACUCAAUGGCCACUAGACAGCAGCAGAGCAGAGCACAUUUUGAUUUAUAAAUUCAUGGCGAAAGUUGCCAGGCCAAGCGGCAGCCGACGCCACCCAACCCACCAAUCCACUCAAUCGCCACACGAUGACGAAACACACACACGCACCACCAACUCCACCACCUAGAGACUUGGCAGCAAAGCAACAAGAAAAUGCAAAAACCGUCUUAUGAAAUUACACAUUUCCGACUUGUACUAACAGCAGCAGAAAGAGAAAAAAAAGCACCCAAAAAACAACAUCCAAGCCGAAGCCAAACCGAACAUUUAGCAGCAGUGAGCAAACCCUACCCGUCCCCCCAUAAUAACCAAAACGUACCGAAAGAAACCCCUUAUGAUACGGCGACUAACUAGCCGAGAAAUUUAGUUAUGCAGGGACCAGGAAAAUCGAAAGUAGACAUUCCAUAUUUGGCCAGGAAAAUGCACGUUUCGGGCAAUUUGGAAAUUUGCAACAUCAUUGAGACGCGCAGCAGACGCGAGAAGCAACCACAAAAAGUAGCAAAUGGAAUCUUGUACAAUAGUUCUAUUGAAAAUCAUAUAUAAAAAACCGACCCCCAUUCCAGACUCACGAUCUAUAAGAGAUCCAAGACAGAGAAAGAUAUAUAAACAGGAGAUAUACAUAGUGAAUAUAUAGAAAGAGAGACAGAUAGAUAGAGAUAGUUAGAGAGCAAAGCAACACAAAACAGAUUUAGAGAAAAAACAACAUAGAGAGAAAGAUAAAAAACAUUUCGGACACAAGGUGGGGAUACCUAGUGUAAUUGCUUAGUCUUAAGAGUGCUGCACUUGCAACGGAACAGAAACCAAGUGCAGGACUGACUGACCCAUGACCCACCCAUUACUUUCACCACAGACCUCCCCAUUACUGGCCCCACACCCCACCCCACAUAUAUUCUAAAUGAAAAAUGAAUACCCUUUGGGCAGCUGACAACACAAAUGUGAUCAGAAAUUUGAUUCAGAAACGCAUAAACUUAGGCCAUUCUAGACCCUAAAAAAAUAAAUAAUCAGAUAUAAGCAACAUAUAAUAAGCGUGAAUCGUACAAUGUAACUACACUCUGUAUCCCCUUAGUUAAGCUACAAAUUAAAAUGCAAAAAGUAUCGAAAAGGGCCCCAAAACAAAAACAAACAAAAACUAAAUGUAGAUAAUGCCAAUCCUUUUGCCUAAAAUGUCAGUUCUUGUUUUAGACGAAACGAUUGUGGCAUUUUUUAUGUGAUUUUUAUAUAAACAUUCAUGUACACACAAACACACCCCAAGACACAUAUACACACACACACGUAUAGUUUUACAUAUUGUAUAAUUUAUUUCGAUAUUCUCGCUACUAUCAUUAUCUUCGUACAGCUUCAGAUUUCAGUUAUAAUUUCAGUUCUUCUUUCGACACCAUAAAUUGUGAUAAGCAAAAGCAUUCUGGAAGACAAAAAGCAAAAGCAAAAAGCAAACCAAAAUCAAAACUGUGUUAAUCCCCAUCUUUGAAAGAUCUAUGACAAAACCACAUACAUGCAUUCACACAUACAUAAAUUGUUUCUCUUUAAGUAAAUUUAAAUAUUCGAAUAAUUCAUGUGGCCCAAAAAGUUUAAUCAAGUUUUGAAAGAAAUUCCUUCAUUUUGUAUAAAAAUAUUAUUUUGAAACCAAACAAAAAUCACACACAAAACACAUCGCUACCAUUAGACAUAUUCGUAAAAUUAGUUAAAAAUACUACGUACAAAAAACACAAAACUAAAACAAAAAUCAAUAAAAUUGUAC
rnacentral:lncRNA from 1 species